rnacentral:rRNA from 1 species
AGUGAACGCUGGCGGUAGGCCUAACACAUGCAAGUCGAACGGCAGCACAGUAAGAGCUUGCUCUUACGGGUGGCGAGUGGCGGACGGGUGAGGAAUACAUCGGAAUCUACUUUUUCGUGGGGGAUAACGUAGGGAAACUUACGCUAAUACCGCAUACGACCUACAGGUGAAAGCAGGGGAUCUUCGGACCUUGCGCGAUUGAAUGAGCCGAUGUCGGAUUAGCUAGUUGGCGGGGUAAAGGCCCACCAAGGCGACGAUCCGUAGCUGGUCUGAGAGGAUGAUCAGCCACACUGGAACUGAGACACGGUCCAGACUCCUACGGGAGGCAGCAGUGGGGAAUAUUGGACAAUGGGCGCAAGCCUGAUCCAGCCAUACCGCGUGGGUGAAGAAGGCCUUCGGGUUGUAAAGCCCUUUUGUUGGGAAAGAAAAGCAGCAGGUUAAUACCCCGCUGUUCUGACGGUACCCAAAGAAUAAGCACCGGCUAACUUCGUGC